rnacentral:piRNA from 1 species
UGACUGUCUUUUAUUUCGUCCCACUACC